rnacentral:rRNA from 1 species
UACGUAGGGUCCGAGCGUUGUCCGGAAUUAUUGGGCGUAAAGAGCUCGUAGGCGGUUUGUUGCGUCGGCUGUGAAAUCCCGAGGCUCAACCUCGGGUCUGCAGUCGAUACGAGCAAACUAGAGUGUUGCAGGGGAGACUGGAAUUCCUGGUGUAGCGGUGAAAUGCGCAGAUAUCAGGAGGAGCACCGGUGGCGAAGGCGGGUCUCUGGGCAACAACUGACGCUGAGGAGCGAAAGCGUGGGGAGCGAACAGG